GUUGUAUGGUUAAGUGACUAAGCGUACACGGUGGAUGCCUUGGCAGUCAGAGGCGAUGAAAGACGUAGUAACUUGCGAUAAGCCCAGAUUAGGUAGUAACAACCAUUUGAGUCUGGGAUUUCUGAAUGGGGAAACCCACUUACAUAAGUAAGUAUCAUUAACUGAAUACAUAGGUUAAUGAGGCGAACCGGGGGAACUGAAACAUCUAAGUACCCCGAGGAAAAGAAAUCAACCGAGAUUCCGAAAGUAGCGGCGAGCGAAAUUGGACUAGCCCUUAAGCUUUACACGCGUUAGACGAACGGUCUGGAAAGUCCGACGAUACAGGGUGAUAGUCCCGUAGUUGACGACGUGUGUUCAGUGAAAUCGAGUAGGGCGGGACACGUGAUAUCCUGUCUGAAUAUGGGGGGACCAUCCUCCAAGGCUAAAUACUACUGACUGACCGAUAGUGAACCAGUACCGUGAGGGAAAGGCGAAAAGAACCCCUGUGAGGGGAGUGAAAUAGAACCUGAAACCGUGUACGUACAAGCAGUAGGAGCAGGCUUUGUCCUGUGACUGCGUACCUUUUGUAUAAUGGGUCAGCGACUUAUAUUCAGUGGCAAGGUUAACCAUCUAGGGGAGCCGUAGGGAAACCGAGUCUUAACUGGGCGUUCAGUCUCUGGAUAUAGACCCGAAACCAGGUGAUCUAGCCAUGGGCAGGUUGAAGGUUGAGUAACAUCAACUGGAGGACCGAACCGACUAAUGUUGAAAAAUUAGCGGAUGACUUGUGGCUAGGGGUGAAAGGCCAAUCAAACCUGGAGAUAGCUGGUUCUCCCCGAAAGCUAUUUAGGUAGCGCCUCGGACGAAUACUACUGGGGGUAGAGCACUGUUAAGGCUAGGGGGUCAUCCCGACUUACCAACCCUUUGCAAACUCCGAAUACCAGUAAGUACUAUCCGGGAGACACACGGCGGGUGCUAACGUCCGUCGUGGAGAGGGAAACAACCCAGACCGCCAGCUAAGGUCCCAAAUUACUACUAAGUGGGAAACGAUGUGGGAAGGCUCAGACAGCCAGGAUGUUGGCUUAGAAGCAGCCAUCAUUUAAAGAAAGCGUAAUAGCUCACUGGUCGAGUCGGCCUGCGCGGAAGAUGUAACGGGGCUAAGUAGUAAACCGAAGCUGCGGCAAUACUCUUUGAGUAUUGGGUAGGGGAGCGUUCUGUAAGCGGUUGAAGGUGUGUGGUAACGCAUGCUGGACGUAUCAGAAGUGCGAAUGCUGACAUGAGUAACGAUAAAGGGGGUGAAAAACCUCCUCGCCGGAAGACCAAGGGUUCCUGUCCAACGUUAAUCGGGGCAGGGUAAGUCGACCCCUAAGGCGAGGCCGAAAGGCGUAGUCGAUGGGAAACGGGUUAAUAUUCCCGUACUUCUUACAAUUGCGAUGGGGGGACGGAGAAGGCUAGGUGGGCCUGGCGACGGUUGUCCAGGUUCAAGUGCGUAGGCUUAAGA
rnacentral:rRNA from 1 species